CGGCAUUCAGUUCUAGUGGGAGACUGGUGAGUCCUCAUCGUAAUCGACUUCAUCCAAAGACAAUAGAAGCAUUGAUGUGUGCCCAAAGUUGGUUGUCAAAUGAAAUGAAAAAAGAUGGAGUUGGCUCAUUCAUUUCAGAUGGAUAUGCAUCAAUUUAUGAAGAAGAUAUUGAUGUUGUUGAUGAAGGUUUGGAGAUGUGAUUUUAUAUCCAAGAAGUUUUGUAACUUUAUACAAGAAUAAGGUAACUUUAUUAGUAUUUAUCUUUAUUUGUUGUGAAAUUAUCAAAAAUUUUUAUGAAUGUUAUUUGUCUUUGUUUGUUGGUAUGGAUUAAACUAAAAAAACCAUGGUUAAACCGAAACCGAAUGGUUUGGUUAUGGUUUUAAAUUUUUAAAACCAAAUGGGUUUUGGUUUGGUUUUGGUUUUAGGAAUUUAAGUUUGGUUUGGUUAUGGUUUUGGCAAAAACCGAAACCGAACCGAACCAU